AAGGAAUAUUGGUCAAUGGACGCAAGUCUGAACCAGCCAUGCCGCGUGGAGGAUGAAGGUCCUCUGGAUUGUAAACUUCUUUUAUCUGGGACGAAACACUUCUUUUCUAAGAGGCCUGACGGUACCAGAUGAAUAAGCACCGGCUAACUCCGUGCCAGCAGCCGCGGUAAUACGGAGGGUGCAAGCGUUAUCCGGAUUCACUGGGUUUAAAGGGUGCGUAGGUGGGUAUGUAAGUCAGUGGUGAAAUCCCCGAGCUUAACUUGGGAACUGCCAUUGAUACUAUAUCUCUUGAAUACCGUAGAGGUAAGCGGAAUAUGUCAUGUAGCGGUGAAAUGCUUAGAUAUGACAUGGAACACCAAUUGCGAAGGCAGCUUACUAUGCGGUGAUUGACACUGAGGCACGAAAGCGUGGGUAGCAAACA
rnacentral:rRNA from 1 species